CCUACGGGUGGCUGCAGUGGGGAAUAUUGGACAAUGGGCGAAAGCCUGAUCCAGCCAUGCCGCGUGUGUGAAGAAGGCCUUCGGGUUGUAAAGCACUUUCAGUGGGGAAGAAAGCCUUGGGGCUAAUACCCUCGAGGAAGGACAUCACCCACAGAAGAAGCACCGGCUAACUCCGUGCCAGCAGCCGCGGUAAUACGGAGGGUGCGAGCGUUAAUCGGAAUUACUGCGCGUAAAGCGCGCGUAGGCGGUCUGAUAAGCCGGUUGUGAAAGCCCCGGGCUCAACCUGGGAACGGCAUCCGGAACUGUCAGGCUAGAGUGCAGGAGAGGAAGGUAGAAUUCCCGGUGUAGCGGUGAAAUGCGUAGAGAUCGGGAGGAAUACCAGUGGCGAAGGCGGUCUUCUGGACUGACACUGACGCUGAGGUGCGAAAGCGUGGGUAGCAAACAGGAUUAGAUACCCCUGUAGUC
rnacentral:rRNA from 1 species